GGAGAGGUCGCAUAGCGGACUAGUGCGGCGGUCUUGAAAACCGCUAAGAGCGCAAGCUCUUCGUGGGUUCGAAUCCCACCCUCUCCG
rnacentral:tRNA from 1 species